UGGGGUUCUGAAAAUUGUAUUGUUCCAAGA
rnacentral:piRNA from 1 species